AGUGAACGCUGGCGGUAGGCCUAACACAUGCAAGUCGAACGGCAGCACAGUAAGAGCUUGCUCUUACGGGUGGCGAGUGGCGGACGGGUGAGGAAUACAUCGGAAUCUACUUUUUCGUGGGGGAUAACGUAGGGAAACUUACGCUAAUACCGCAUAUGACCUACGGGUGAAAGCAGGGGAUCUUCGGACCUUGCGCGAUUGAAUGAGCCGAUGUCGGAUUAGCUAGUUGGGGGGGUAAAGGCCCACCAAGGCAACGAUGCGUAGCUGAGCUGAGAGGAUGAUCAGCCACACUGGAACUGAGACACGGUCCAGACUCCUACGGGAGGCAGCAGUGGGGAAUAUUGGACAAUGGGCGCAAGCCUGAUGCAGCCAUACCGCGUGAGUGAAGAAGGCCUUCGGGUCGUAAAGCCCUUUUGUUGGGAAAGAAAAGCAGCAUGUUAAUACCCCGCCGUUCUGACGGUACCCAAAGAAUAAGCACCGGCUAACUUCGUG
rnacentral:rRNA from 1 species